rnacentral:rRNA from 1 species
UUGGUGGGGUAAUGGCCUACCAAGGCGACGACGGGUAGCCGGCCUGAGAGGGCGACCGGCCACACUGGGACUGAGACACGGCCCAGACUCCUACGGGAGGCAGCAGUGGGGAAUAUUGCACAAUGGGCGGAAGCCUGAUGCAGCGACGCCGCGUGAGGGAUGACGGCCUUCGGGUUGUAAACCUCUUUCAGCAGGGACGAAGCGUAAGUGACGGUACCUGCAGAAGAAGCGCCGGCCAACUACGUGCCAGCAGCCGCGGUAAGACGUAGGGCGCGAGCGUUGUCCGGAUUUAUUGGGCGUAAAGAGCUCGUAGGCGGCUUGUCGCGUCGACUGUGAAAUCUCAGGGCUCAACUCUGACAUUGCAGUCGAUACGGGCAGGCUAGAGUUCGGUAGGGGAGACUGGAAUUCCUGGUGUAGCGGUGAAAUGCGCAGAUAUCAGGAGGAACACCGAUGGCGAAGGCAGGUCUCUGGGCCGAUACUGACGCUGAGGAGCGAAAGCGUGGGGAGCGAACAGGAUUAGAUACCCUGGUAGUCCACGCUGUAAACGUUGGGCGCUAGGUGUGGGGGGCCUCUCCGGUUUCCUGCGCCGCGGCUAACGCAUUAAGCGCCCCGCCUGGGGAGUACGG